rnacentral:rRNA from 1 species
CAACGAACUCUGGUAUUGAUUGGUGCUUGCAUCAUGAUUUACAUUUGAGUGAGUGGCGAACUGGUGAGUAACACGUGGGAAACCUGCCCAGAAGCGGGGGAUAACACCUGGAAACAGAUGCUAAUACCGCAUAACAACUUGGACCGCAUGGUCCGAGCUUGAAAGAUGGCUUCGGCUAUCACUUUUGGAUGGUCCCGCGGCGUAUUAGCUAGAUGGUGGGGUAACGGCUCACCAUGGCAAUGAUACGUAGCCGACCUGAGAGGGUAAUCGGCCACAUUGGGACUGAGACACGGCCCAAACUCCUACGGGAGGCAGCAGUAGGGAAUCUUCCACAAUGGACGAAAGUCUGAUGGAGCAACGCCGCGUGAGUGAAGAAGGGUUUCGGCUCGUAAAACUCUGUUGUUAAAGAAGAACAUAUCUGAGAGUAACUGUUCAGGUAUUGACGGUAUUUAACCAGAAAGCCACGGCUAACUACGUGCCAGCAGCCGCGGUAAUACGUAGGUGGCAAGCGUUGUCCGGAUUUAUUGGGCGUAAAGCGAGCGCAGGCGGUUUUUUAAGUCUGAUGUGAAAGCCUUCGGCUCAACCGAAGAAGUGCAUCGGAAACUGGGAAACUUGAGUGCAGAAGAGGACAGUGGAACUCCAUGUGUAGCGGUGAAAUGCGUAGAUAUAUGGAAGAACACCAGUGGCGAAGGCGGCUGUCUGGUCUGUAACUGACGCUGAGGCUCGAAAGUAUGGGUAGCAAACAGGAUUAGAUACCCUGGUAGUCCAUACCGUAAACGAUGAAUGCUAAGUGUUGGAGGGUUUCCGCCCUUCAGUGCUGCAGCUAACGCAUUAAGCAUUCCGCCUGGGGAGUACGGCCGCAAGGCUGAAACUCAAAGGAAUUGACGGGGGCCCGCACAAGCGGUGGAGCAUGUGGUUUAAUUCGAAGCUACGCGAAGAACCUUACCAGGUCUUGACAUACUAUGCAAAUCUAAGAGAUUAGACGUUCCCUUCGGGGACAUGGAUACAGGUGGUGCAUGGUUGUCGUCAGCUCGUGUCGUGAGAUGUUGGGUUAAGUCCCGCAACGAGCGCAACCCUUAUUAUCAGUUGCCAGCAUUAAGUUGGGCACUCUGGUGAGACUGCCGGUGACAAACCGGAGGAAGGUGGGGAUGACGUCAAAUCAUCAUGCCCCUUAUGACCUGGGCUACACACGUGCUACAAUGGAUGGUACAACGAGUUGCGAACUCGCGAGAGUAAGCUAAUCUCUUAAAGCCAUUCUCAGUUCGGAUUGUAGGCUGCAACUCGCCUACAUGAAGUCGGAAUCGCUAGUAAUCGCGGAUCAGCAUGCCGCGGUGAAUACGUUCCCGGGCCUUGUACACACCGCCCGUCACACCAUGAGAGUUUGUAACACCCAAAGUCGGUGGGGUAACCUUUUAGGAACCA